GGAAUUGAUUAAAAGGGAAUCGAUUUUAAAAAAGAACGAGGAAUUGAUUCUAACCCUGCUGGGGUUAUUGUACAGAAAUCACGCUGCCUUCUGGGACUUUACAAUAUGCAUAUUCCCUUUAAGAGAGAGUGAGGAAAAUACAAUCCACAGGUACAGUGGAACACGUGGAAACAAGAGAGGAUCAAACCUGUACAAGAAAAUACAAUCCACAGGUACAGUGGAACACGUGGAAACAAGAGAGGAUCAAACCUGUACAAG